rnacentral:tRNA from 1 species
GGGGCUUUAGCUCAGUUGGGAGAGCGCUUCCAUGGCAUGGAAGAGGUCACCGGUUCGAUCCCGGCAAGCUCCACCA